CGCUCCGCGUCCCCUGGAUCUGUCUCUUGCUUCAACAGUGUUUGGACGGAACAGACCCAGGGACGCCCCCUUCUUCCAGCCUCCGACCACCUUCCAACCUCUCUUCCAGUCGUAGCCUUCGGACCAGCUCAGCCAUCCUCUACCUCCGGCGGGACCAACCAACACCGAUUUUUUGAGCUCAGCUCCUUACUGCCAUCAACCAUGAGUUCCCAGAUUCGUCAGAAUUAUUCUGCCGAAGUGGAGGCCGCGGUCAACCGCCUGGUCAACAUGUAUCUGCGGGCCUUGUACACCUACCUCUCUCUGGGCUUCUAUUUCGACCGCGACGAUGUGGCUCUGGAGGGCGAGUGCCACUUCUUCCGCAAGUUGGCGGAGGAGAAGCGUGAGGCGAGGGCGCGGAGCGUCUCUUGAAGAUGCAAAACCAGCACGGCGGCCGCACCCUCUUCCAAGACUUGCAGAAGCCGUCCCAGGAUGAGUGGGGCAACACCCUGCAGGCUAUGGAAGCUGCCAUGGCCCUGGAGAAGAAUCUGAACAAGGCCCUCUUGGAUCUGCAUGCUCUGGGUUCUGCCCACUCAGACCCCCAUCUCUGUGACUUCCUGGAGAACCACUUCCUAGAGGAGGAAGUGAAACUCAUCAAGAAGAUGGGUGACCACCUGACCAACAUUCACAGGCUCGCUGGCCCCCAGGCUGGGCUGGGCGAGUAUCUCUUGGAUAGGCUCACCCUCAGGCAUGACUAGGAGCCUCCGCAGUCCAGCAGCCUUUGAGGGGCCCUUCUGGCAACCCCUUGGUGUCAGAGCUUCUGCCUGAGCCUCUUCCUGAAGCCACUAGGUAGCUUUUUAACCACCCUGGAGCCCUCUCCCAAGCCGUGGACCAAAUAGAAACAAUGAAGCUUUUUGCAGCAAAAAAAAAAAA